GAACAACCAAAAGAACAAACGAUCCACCUUAAGACUCGAAGGCAGGGUUCCGGCCAAGGCCAAAAGCAGCGAGGUUUUUCCCGCGCCAGGGGGACCCAGAAGCAAGGUCAUCCUGAAAAUGGAUGGGAUAAGCUGAUAAGGUGGAGAGCAUUUGCCAGGCCCUGUUUGAAGACGAUCACCACCAUGUAUGUAAGUACGCAUAUUAUGCAAGCACAAAAAUUAAGGUAAAUGAAUGCAAUGGAGUCCUGCACGUUUGUAACUCCUAACACUGAAGCUGCAUAAUAGACCAGUAUGCUGGAUUUGCAGUUAUCCUAACGUUCGGAGCUUCAGUGAGCAAACUUGACUUUUUAUCCGAGACAGUUUCCUUACUGACUCCGAAUGGAGAAUACUGAUGUUUUUUUCAAAAUAUUUAGGACUGGUGUGUUAACAUGGGA